AACUCCCAGCCUCAAUGAGGAAAAACGGGGUUUUCCAGAGACCUGUCCCCUUGAGGUUUAAAAGCGUGUCCCGUGGGAGCUUCGCUUUCGCUUCUCUAAGGGGUUGGAGCUGCAAGAGCCCUGAUCCUCGCCGAUCCCGGGGCACCUGUUCGAUCUCUGAGUUAAUCACUGGGGCACCUUCACCUCCCCGCACACCUCCUUCUCCUGGUCACCUGCGUCCUCCCCUAGCGCUUCCUGUGCACCUGGACCAGGACCAGAGGAGGGCGCGGAGUCCCAAAGCACCGCAGAAGGAAUGAGUUAGCCUGAAUCGGGGCGAUUCGAGGCAAAGACUUUCCAGAUGACUUCUAAACCGCCUUGGCAAAGGCGGGCGACUAGCAUCUAAAAGCAUCGGUUGCUAAUGUGUCCACAGAAGCCACAGAUGUGUAGGGCGAAAACUGGGCUAUUGCAAGCGGACGCCAGGGAGGAGGCGUCGCAGCUCUUGCCGCGGAUGUGGUGGUGGACGACGCCAAGUCAGUCGUCUUGUUUAAAAAAAAAAAAAAAAAAGGAAGUAAAGAAUGAUUAAGAGGGCCACGGGCCACGCCCUCAGCCUCUCUAACCUCUCUAGUCUCCUUCCUCUCUGUCUUUUGUACAUGCACCUGCCCAGGUGAGACCUCAAAGAAAAAUAACCCGGUGUGUCCACCUAAUCUGGUAGUCACAAACCACGGAGCUGAUCUCCCUGUGCUAUGCGGCUGCUUCACACUAGCUAUCAAUUUUACGUUUGGAAUGUACUGAAUAUGAAGGGAGACAUAAUUCCUUGUGCCACCUUCCUCCACCGAGGGUGGAGGAACAAAUACAUUUUAUAAAAAGCAGCAAAAAGGGAAAUUGUCAAAGCACAACAGAACUGUCAGCAAACUUCAAAGAAUCCAAGAUAUUUAUUAUACUCCACAGGUCAUAAUACUUUUCUGAUUCCUUUCUUUUUCUACCAAUCUUCUAAUUAAAAUAAAACCUACUGGCAAUUUGUAAAGUGUAAA